rnacentral:rRNA from 1 species
UACAGAGGGGGCAAGCGUUAUUCGGAAUCAUUGGGCGUAAAGGGCGCGUAGGUGGCGGGACAAGCGUGCGGUGAAAGCUCGGGGCUCAACCCCGCGUCGGCCGUGCGAACUGUUUUGCUGGAGCACUGUAGAGGCAGGCGGAAUUCCGGGUGUAGCGGUGGAAUGCGUAGAGAUCCGGAAGAACACCGGUGGCGAAGGCGGCCUGCUGGGCAGUUGCUGACACUGAGGCGCGACAGCGUGGGGAGCAAACAGG